rnacentral:rRNA from 1 species
UACGUAGGGUGCGAGCGUUAAUCGGAAUUACUGGGCGUAAAGCGUGCGUAGGCGGUUCGCUGUGUCCGAUGUGAAAGCCCCGGGCUUAACCUGGGAAUGGCAUUGUAAACUGGCGGGCUUGAGUGCGGCAGAGGGGGGUGGAAUUCCGCGUGUAGCAGUGAAAUGCGUAGAGAUGCGGAGGAACACCGAUGGCGAAGGCAGCCCCCUGGGUCGACACUGACGCUCAGGCACGAAAGCGUGGGGAGCAAACAGG